GGCCAGUCUUACGCAAACAAAAAAAAUGCAAUAAAAAUAUUUAAAUCAAUGAAUGAUAUGUUGCAUAAGUUGCAAUGUCUAAUCACAAAAGUAUUAUCAUAUUACAGAUCACCCCAUGCUGAUUCAUAGAGUUCAAUUAGAAAGAUUUUGCAGGAUUCAAUAAGCAUUUUGUUACGAUGUUUCCGCAUUAUUUUUUUGAUGAAAAUCAAAUUAUUGCCGCUAAAAUCUGGGGCUCAAUUGGAAAGGCCAGAGC
rnacentral:lncRNA from 1 species